rnacentral:rRNA from 1 species
GAGUUUGAUCGUGGCUCAGAACGAACGCUGGCGGCAGGCUUAACACAUGCAAGUCGAACGCGUGUAGCAAUACACGAGUGGCGCACGGGUGAGUAACGCGUGGAUAUCUACCUUUUGGUUCGGAAUAACCUUGGGAAACCGAGGCUAAUACCGGAUGGUUCCUACGGGAUAAAGAUUUAUCGCCAAAAGAUGAGUCCGCGUCCGAUUAGCUAGUUGGUGAGGUAACGGCUCACCAAGGCGACGAUCGGUAGCUGGUCUGAGAGGACGAUCAGCCACACUGGGACUGAGACACGGCCCAGACUCCUACGGGAGGCAGCAGUGGGGAAUAUUGGACAAUGGGGGCAACCCUGAUCCAGCCAUGCCGCGUGAGUGAUGAAGGCCUUC